GACGAACGCUGGCGGCGUGCUUAACACAUGCAAGUCGAGCGAUGAACCUUUCAUGAAUUUUUCGGAAUGAUUGGAGGAGGAUUAGCGGCGGACGGGUGAGUAACGCGUGAGCAACCUGCCUUAAACAACGGGAUAGCCUCGGGAAACCGGGAUUAAUACCGUAUGAGACCCCGCCUUCACAUGAAGAAGAGGUUAAAGAUUUAUCGGUUUAAGAUGGGCUCGCGUCUGAUUAGCUAGUUGGUGAGAUAAAAGCCCACCAAGGCAACGAUCAGUAACCGGCUUGGGAGAGUGAACGGUCACAUUGGAACUGAGACACGGUCCAAACUCCUACGGGAGGCAGCAGUGGGGAAUAUUGCACAAUGGGGGAAACCCUGAUGCAGCGACGCCGCGUGAGCGAUGAAGGAAUUCGUUUCGUAAAGCUCUGUCCAAGGGGAAGAUAAUGACAGUACCCUUGGAGGAAGCCCCGGCUAAAUACGUGCCAGCCGCCGCCGUAA
rnacentral:rRNA from 1 species